rnacentral:rRNA from 1 species
UCGCAUCCUGCACGGCAGAACGACCCGCGAACAAGUUA